ensembl:misc_RNA Metazoa_SRP Metazoan signal recognition particle RNA
GCCAGGCAUGGUGGUGCACGCCUGUGGUCCCAGCUACUUGGGAGGCUGAGGUGGGAGGAUCACUUGAGCCCUGGAGGUUGAGUCUGCAGUGAGCCAUGAUCAUGCCACUGCACUCCAACCUGGGCAACAGAGUGAGACCCUGUCUCAA